AGAGAGAGACAUGCGCGCAUAUCAAUAAGCGGAGGAAAAGAAACUAACAAGGAUUCCCUUAGUAACGGCGAGUGAAGCGGGAAGAGCUCAAAUUUGAAAUCUUCAAGGUUUUACCUUGACGAAUUGUAGUUUAAAGAAGUGUUUUCUGCUGAAGUUUUGGUAAAAGUUCUUUGGAAUAGGACAUCAUAGAGGGUGAGGAUCCCGUAUUUGACCAUUAUUUUCAGCUUUGUGAUACACUUUCAAAGAGUCGGAUUGUUUGGGAAUGCAGUCCAAAAUGGGUGGUAAAUUUCAUCUAAAGCUAAAUAUUGGCGAAGAGACCGAUAGCGAACAAGUACCGUGAGGGAAAGAUGAAAAGAACUUUGAAAAGAGAGUUAAACAGUACGUGAAAUUGUCAAAAGGGAAGCGUUUGACACCAGUGUUGUUUUCCUCGAAAAUCAAUUAAAAAUGGCUCGAUUUUGUAUUGCUUGAGACCUUAAAAGCUCACUGUACAUUUUUCGUGUCUUUUUUAAUGCACUUUUUCGUUUAACAAGUCAACAUCAGUUUCUUUUGUUGUAAAAGGGUCAUUGGAAGGUGGCUUUCUUUUCGGGAGAAAGUGUUUAUAGCCUUUGGCCUCUGCAAUCGGAGAGACUGAGGUCUGCAGCGUAGACUCUUCGGGGUUAGAUACAUUUGUGCUAAGUUAUAGCUUUUUAUAGACAACUUGUUGACUAUAAUUAGUCUUGUAGCUUACUCGCUUAUGCUAUUUUACCUACGCUUAGGAUGUUGAAGAUGUAGCACAUCAU
rnacentral:rRNA from 1 species